rnacentral:lncRNA from 1 species
UUUAAUUUUAUUUGUAGGUCCAGGAUAUGAAUGCAGAUUAAUAAUGUUGUGUUCUUUGCGUUUUGUAUUUUUAGUGGAUUGUUCUAGGUAAUAUUAAAUUUAUUAUAGUAUAUUACAACAAAACGGUUAUAUAGCGUUGUCGUACCUUAAUUAAAAUAAAUAGAAAAACGGUUUUAACUUCGCAACAACGUAAAACUGUUGUCAUUGUAAAUUUAAAAAAUCGUUCUCUAAGAGGUAGCUACAAGUAUAAUUUUCACAAAGCCUUGUUGUUUCAAAAGAAAACUGUUGCGUAAGGCAAAGGCAAUGCCAUACACUGACCUAUUGGUGAAAACUUAAUUUCUACCAAUUAGAGCCAUAAUCUACGUGAUUUUUGUAAGUGUUUUGGUUAUUAACAUUUUUUUCAUGUGCCAUAUGUGAUUUGAUUUGUUUUAGUACUAAAUGGAUGCAUAUAGAAGAGCUUUUAUUUUACCUUCUUUUUCAUCCAUGUAUCUUAUAUUUGUAUAAUUUUAGGGACAAACUUCUUUAAAGAUCCAACAUAUUUAAGAGUUGUCUCUUCUAAACGGUGAAUUCAAACACACACAAGUUAGAAAUCAAAUUCAUUAUUUUAUACUUAAGGAAUUGAAUCAUUUAUCACUCUAACCAUAUUAAUUUUUUUUCAUUGAGUAGAAAUCACAUUUGCGGUACUGUAAAGUUUAAAAUACUUACACACAUCGUACAUCAACCACUUGUGCUAGACUCGGUUAGUCAUAUCCUCCACUAGUUUAUUUUUAAAAACACACAAAAGACUUAAAUGUUUUGGUAUCAUGUUAGGAAUAGGAUCAAUAUAAAACUGAUAUAAUAGUUUAGGAUAUUUUUCUAUUUGAUAUGAAGCAAUAUGUAGUCUAAAAGAACCUAUAAAGGGUGAUGACGAUUUCAGUAAGUGUAUUAAAUUAUUGUAAGGAAUAAAAUAAUAAAGUAUUGAAUGUCCAUCACAAGAAUCGUGUAUUAAUACUAAUUCAAAUAUAAAAAAAC